rnacentral:lncRNA from 1 species
GUUUUAAGUUUUCCAAGAAACCCGUCCAUCACAAUUGGAAAAUUCUCAAGACUAUGACAAUAUGAAAGGUCAAAUGUCUCCAGUAAAUCCAACUUGAGAGGUGGAAUACUCCUGAGAUUCCGACAACUAUUUAUUAACAUUCAGGGUUUUAAGUUUUCCAAAAAACCCGUCCACCACAAUUGGAAAACUCUCAAGACCGUGACAAUGUGAAAAGUCAAGAGUUUCUAGUGAAUCCAACUUGAGAGGUGGAAUACUCCUGAGAUUGCGACAACUACUAACAUUCAGGGUUUUAAGUUUUCCAAAAAACCCGUCCUCCACAAUUGGAAAUCUCUCAAGACUAUGACAA